UCCGUAGGUGAACCUGCGGAAGGAUCAUUACCGAGUUGAUUCGGGCUCCGGCCCGAUCCUCCCACCCUUUGUGUACCCACCUCUGUUGCUUUGGCGGGCCGCGGUCCUCCGCGGCCGCCCUCCGUCCGGGGGGUGGCCAGCGCCCGCCAGAGGACCAUCAAACUCCGGUCAGUGAACGUUGCCGUCUGAAAAACAAUCAAUAAACUAAAACUUUCAACAACGGAUCUCUUGGUUCUGGCAUCGAUGAAGAACGCAGCGAAAUGCGAUAAGUAAUGUGAAUUGCAGAAUUCAGUGAAUCAUCGAAUCUUUGAACGCACAUUGCGCCCCUCGGUAUCCGAGGGGAUGCCUGUUCGAGCGUCAUCACAACCCUCAAGCUCUGCUUGGUGUUGGGCACCGCCCUUCCGCGGGCGCGCCUCGAAGACCUCGGCGGUGGCGUCUUGCCUCGAGCGUAGUAGAAAACACCUCGCUUUGGAGCGCACGGCGCCGCCCGCCGGACGAACCUUUUGAACUUUCUCAAGGUUGACCUCGGAUCAGGUAGGGAUACCCGCUGAACUUAAGCAUAUCAAUAAGCGGAGGA
rnacentral:rRNA from 1 species